rnacentral:rRNA from 1 species
CCUACGGGAGGCAGCAGUGGGGAAUAUUGGGUAAUGGGCGCAAGCCUGACCCAGCAACGCCGCGUGAAGGAAGAAGGCUUUCGGGUUGUAAACUUCUUUUGUCAGGGACGAAGCAAGUGACGGUACCUGACGAAUAAGCCACGGCUAACUACGUGCCAGCAGCCGCGGUAAUACUGAGGUGGCAAGCGUUAUCCGGAUUUACUGGGUGUAAAGGGCGUGUAGGCGGGACUGCAAGUCAGAUGGGCAAACCACGGGCUCAACCUGUGGCCUGCAUUUGAAACUGUAGUUCUUGAGUACUGGAGAGGCAGACGGAAUGCCUGGUGUAGCGGUGAAAGGCGUAGAUAUUAGGAGGAACACCAGUGGCGAAGGCGGUCUGCUGGAAAGCAACUGACGCUGAGGCGCGAAAGCGUGGGGAGCAAACAGGAUUAGAUACCCUUGUAGUC